AACGAACGCUGGCGGCAUGCCUAACACAUGCAAGUCGAACGAGACCUUCGGGUCUAGUGGCGCACGGGUGCGUAACGCGUGGGAACCUGCCCUUAGGUUCGGAAUAACUCCCCGAAAGGGGUGCUAAUACCGGAUAAUGUCUUCGGACCAAAGAUUUAUCGCCUUUGGAUGGGCCCGCGUUGGAUUAGCUAGUUGGUAGGGUAAAAGCCUACCAAGGCGACGAUCCAUAGCUGGCCUGAGAGGAUGAUCAGCCACACUGGGACUGAGACACGGCCCAGACUCCUACGGGAGGCAGCAGUGGGGAAUAUUGGAAAUGGGCGAAAGCCUGAUCCAGCAAUGCCGCGUGAGUGAUGAAGGCCUUAGGGUUGUAAAGCUCUUUUACCCGGGAUGAUAAUGACAGUACCGGGAGAAUAAGCUCCGGCUAACUCCGUG
rnacentral:rRNA from 1 species